AGAAUGCCUCGGGCCGGCCCAACGCUUUAAAGGGACAGCACGGGGCGCGCGCUUCCCGCUUAAAAGCUUUAAUCCCCGAAUUUGACUGGUGCAGGCCCUUCUAAUGCACUUCCUAAAAACUGAAGUAUAAUAAUACAUACAGGAAAGUGCUAGUGUGCCCUCGCGUUUCCACAGACAGCACGCCCUGUACACAGACACCAGCGGCCCUCCGGGACCUGCGCAGGUGGCGUCGCCCGGCGUUGUCUCCGGAGUCGAUUCGGGCCGGGGCACCUCCCCGGGCGACCAGGCCCCUUCUUGAUCAUCGCUGGUACGGAUGAGAGCGGCAGUGGGCAUUUGGAAAGCACCUGGGGCCGCGCCCGGGCGCAGUGCCCCCAUGUGGCCUCCCACCCCGGGCGGGCAGGACGAUUCCUGCCCAUCUGGAAGACCAGGAACCUGCGCGUUCACAGGGUUCGGAAGCCCGGGCUGCGCCUUCCCGCGGGGCCGGCUGCCGGGCUGGGGGCUCUUCCCGCCUCUGCAUGCACAGAGCCCGCGGUGCACGAACCUGCUCCCCGCCAGCCCCGCGGACUGGCAGGGCCGCUCUGGAGUCACCCGCGCCCGCUCCGCAGUGCGCAAACUCACUUCGCAGCGGGCUCUCCCGGGGCCAGCCCUUCCCUCCUGGGCGGGCAUUUUCACCUCCAGGUACAAGGGGGUGGUCCCCAGAGGAGGACUCAGGGGCUUAAGGAGAAGCUGAGGCCCGGUCCUCUGGCCUCAACGACUGCACAUUCUCGCCGCCUGCUUCACUUCUUAGAGCCUUGGAGGUGAAUUGGUCUCACCACCUCACCCCACCCCCAGGAGAUAGAACCUUCUAGUAAAAAUGAGAAAAUCCGGCCGGGCGCGGCGGCUCACGCCUGUAAUCCCAGCACUUUGGGAGGCUGAGGCGAGUGGAUCACCUGAGGUCGGGAUCACCUGAGGCUGAGGCUGAGGCAAGGAGAAUCGCUGGAACCCAGGAAAGAGGUUGCAGUGAGCCGAGAUCGCACCAUUGCACUCCAGCCUGGGCAACAAGAGCAAAACUCCGUCUCAAAAAAAUAAAAAAGAUGUUCAGAGAAACAGUUCCAUUUACUAAGUCACUGCUGGUGGCCAAAGCCUAGUUAAUGUUCUGAAAAUCUCCAUCGUGUUUGUUCCUCUUCUGUGAUUCUUAUUUUCUCUUCUAUUUUCACCUGCCAUAUUUUUUCCUGAGGCUGACAACUGUUUGGUAGGAUAUAAGAGGAUUUAAAACUUAGUAAAGCAAAUUACUUGCCUUUGUUAAA
rnacentral:lncRNA from 1 species